rnacentral:tRNA from 1 species
GAGGGUAUAGUUCAAGUAGAGUGCGUGCUUGGAAUGCACAAGGUCCUGGGUUCAAUCCCCAGUACCUCCU